rnacentral:tRNA from 1 species
GUUUCUAUAGUUAAGGAUUUGUUAACGGCGGCUUUUCAAGUCGUAGACCUUGGGUAAAGUCCAAGUGGAAACU